rnacentral:lncRNA from 1 species
CAGCAGGUGGCUGCCCGAACCCACACGGGGAGGCCCUGCCGCCAGCCGCGCGAGCGGAGGAGGGCACGGCGGGCCCAGCAGGGUGGGGGCAUGGGUAAGCUGGGCCAGGUCAGGGCACAACCAACACACAGCCAGGCAUGCAGCGCAAAGUUGCCUGUUUUCCUGCCCCAUCUCCUGCUUUACUGUGCUGAGCUGGGACAGCGUGUGUGAAGCAGCCCAAGCCCACAUCCUAGCUGCACCCAGGUUGUGGGCACCAGAGCGGUGGUCUGAGGAACAGAGGUCAGUUCUGGUGGAGGGGUUUAAGCAGGUUCUUGGAGGUGAUAAACUACUACAGGUCAUGGAAUGCUGGUAAGGACAAGAGACAGGAUGCCACAGACUAAUACUCCUUACCACACGGCCAUCUAUCUGUGCCUUUAUAGUCCGAUCUAGAACAAAGCAGAAUGUUCUUAUGGCAGGAGCUAACCCGUGGUCGUUAGGCUUUAUCAAACUUAGAGUCAGAGUCAACUUGGAUGAAAAGUGUCCCCAUUGUCCCCUGCCUACCUUUACCGGCCACCCCACUCUCUCUAAGGUGCCCUCUCCUUGAUAGCUCUGCCUCACAGCCCAUCUUCCAGCAAUUGACAGAGAUGAGCUUGAAGAAGGGUUACUCUCCAGGGAGCCUGUGGGCCAGCCUGCUACUCCAGUGAAGAUGGAGACCCCAGUUUGGCUCCUCUGAGCUGCUCCACCCUGUUAGCAGGGACAUCUGUGUAAUGACAACUCUCCCCACUGGAGCAAAGGUUGACUGGAGUCGGUGGAAGAGAGCAGAGUCUGGUACGAGACCACGCACGCCCAGAGGGUGGGAGGAGGAGUUCCCUGGUAACUAGUGCACAGAGGAUGAGCUGAAGGACUUGUAAGAUGGUUAGAUCCCUACCUCAUGCCACCCACGGAAACAGAGUCCAGGUGGAGGGAUGGCUUUACAGAGAGCAUGGGGACCUAACUGCAAAGAAAAAGAAACAUGAUAUUUUAAUAAAAAUGUGCUGGAGAAAUUUUUCUCAACAUGACGCCAAUAUCAGAAACCAUAAAGGUGUACAUAGUUCCUAAAUAGAUUAAAUUUCCCAGAGUGCUAAAGCUGCAAGAUGGCCAAGAAUGGAAAGACCAAGUCAAGAAGGACCAAGCCUUCCCUUGGUCACCUGUUGAAAAGGGACUGGUUAUCUUUUAAGGGGUACUGGGGAUGAAAUGCAGGGUCUUGCAAUGCUAGCCAAAUACUCUACCACUGAGAUAUUUACUGGUCUUUCAAAAAACAACCACCUUUUUACUUUUAGACAGUCUUAUUAGCUUGCCCAGGCUGUCUUUGAACUUUCCAUCUUCUUGCCUCAUCCACCUGUGCAGUUAGGAUGACAGGCCUGUGCCUCCAGGCCCAGAUGGGAUGUCUUAACUGUCUUUAUUUCUCAGGGGUGUGGGGAGUCCAGCACUGUGGAUCCCACACUUUGUUUGAGAUAAAUAACUGCUACUCAAGCGACGUAGAGGCUGUCACCUGCCUCGUGGCAGGGAGGGACAGGGUCUUUGAGUGUUCUCCGUGGCAGCAGCAAUCCCACAAAAUCCCAUGGACUUUGUGCUGAUAGCAGAGCACAGGUUAGUGCUGUUAGAGUCUUGGGUCUCUGGCAUCUUAAGUGCACAUUCAAUGUACAAAGACUAUGUGAGGAUAUGAAACGCCACACUGAGGCAGGGAGCUGAUUCUGCUGUGCCCAUUCAGUAAGCUCUGCCCCUUCCCAUAUCCUAGCUUCUCAAGAUCUCCACC